rnacentral:rRNA from 1 species
UACGGAGGGUGCGAGCGUUGUCCGGAAUCACUGGGCGUAAAGGGUGCGUAGGUGGCUCGUUAAGUGGCUGGUGAAAUCCCGGGGCUCAACUCCGGGGCUGCCGGUCAGACUGGCGGGCUCGAGCACGGUAGAGGCAGAUGGAAUUCCCGGUGUAGCGGUGGAAUGCGUAGAUAUCGGGAAGAAUACCGGUGGCGAAGGCGUUCUGCUGGACCGUUGCUGACACUGAGGCACGACAGCGUGGGGAGCAAACGGG